rnacentral:lncRNA from 1 species
AAACUUGAACUUCCAUGAAAGGUUACAGAAAGAAUUUCACAAGUGAACUUCACCUCAGUGCUUCCAUUGCAUUUACGAGUUUUCAUAAUUACAGCAUUUAAUGCAUCAUCUGUCAUCAUCUGUUCAUUUCACCUACAUGACCCCUAUAUUAAUUGAUUACCGGAAAAGUUAGAAAAAGAAGUUAUGGAAUUAUUAAAAUUAUACA